UUUGUUGACGUGUCUGUCCGCGAUUACAGUCAUACACACGUCUUUCAAAUGUGUAUAAUACCUCCUUAUAUUUUUUAACACUUGAAAGUAUUGUUUCUUAUUGUUAGCAGGUAUUCUUCUUGCAUCAACGAGUAUUAGUAGUUUCAACCAGACAAAGCGCUGAGACACACGAUCGGAUGUUUCACCUGAUGACUUUGGAGAUGUGACUGUUGAAUGCAUAAUGCUAUUAUGCACAUACGAAAGAAUGAUUGUUACUUUUUCCUUAUAAAAAACUUACUACAGGGUUAUUACAAUAAAAUUUUAACCGAUCGAUUUUUGAGCAAACUAACAAGCUUAAUGCAACGACUGAUGGAGAUGAAAACUAUAAUAGUAUUGGAGCUGCAGUUAAGACCACCCAAAGACUGCCAAUGUGGACCUCAUACCAGGAACCCGAUUGUGUCCAAGGGUCACUCGACUGCUCAUUAUGCAUCUCAAAUCUCUCCUCGCACCUUCGUUAAUUUGAGUUAAGUGUUAAUUUAAUUGAACACCCUCACUUGCCGACGCAGCAUACAUAUAUACCUUUUUUCUUUUUUGACCAGUUUAUUAUAGAGUCAAUCGCCAUUCACCUUUGUUCUUUACCACUCAAUAAAUGUUCUUCAUUGCUCAUCAAUUAUACCGAUAAACCGUUUAAUGUUAAUCGUUAACUUGAGGUAAAAAUGCAUGAAAAAAAUUGGUAAUAAGUGUAAAUAAAUUGGCGGAUAAUGUACUGUUAGUAUUACUACAGUUUAUCGUAUAUGAAAUUUAUGCGUGAGGUUAUUCUUCUUCAAGAACAAUAUCUGAAAUGUUGAACAGGAACACGAUAUACUCUUCUACCGAUUCGCGCUUUCGGGUGUGAGCCUCGAUGUAGAAGGCAAUAUCUUUAUCAGCUAAAUGUGUUUUACAUUAAUACUUGAGUGUUUUAGUAGCCAUUGCCGACCAUUAAUGCCACAUUGGGUUGAGUGCUUCAACGCUUCUGCAUGGUAUGACCGAUUCAAGUAGAACCUUUGUAAUAUACCUCCAUUAUCUAACGGGCCGAUUUUUUUGAUUUUGCCAUUCUUCCUUUCAAAGCAAAAAAUGUUAAAAUAUUCAACAUUAGCUGAUGACUGAUAAAUUAAAAUCUUAGAGCAGCCAAGUGUAAGCUUUUAGGAAAUGAACAAAUUAAAGUUUAUAUUAUCUUACAGCAGAAGAGAAGAUAGAUCGACGAUGGAAUUGAAUCGAUAAGAACUGACGCGGUACAGACGUGGUACCAGUGGAGGAUGCUGGGAUCACUGGGGAACCUAGCUAACUCUUAUACUUACUUGAAUGGCCUCGGUUGGCUUAGUGUAGUGGUAGAAGAACGUCUUGCGUUGAAAGUGGUGGUAAGUAUGGUACCCCUGGAGCGGGUGUCAUCAUUUAUCUCGCACCGGAGAUCGGGUUUGCCGAUACUGUGGGACAUUUUAAUGGCCGAACCAUGUUGGAAUUAACUAAAACAAAGACGAAGCAUCAAUUAGGCGACUUUUUCUUCCACUUAUUCUUGCCUGAGAGGGAGUUAGAAAAAGACAGAAUUCAUAUACGUAGACAUCGAGUGUGUGUACAUGGUGAUGUGGAGUUGGUAGCUGAAUUGUCCAAGAUAAUGCCUGAUAAAUUGUGCUCCGAUGCCGCCAAGGACCACCAUCGAAUUCUGCCAAAACAUCUGUCACAUCACAGAAUCUAACUCGAGCGAGUUUUAGAAGUAGCAGAAGGAAUGGUCAGGUUAGUGUGAACCUGUCGUCGCCCCAAUAGCUACCUCCGAGGUGAAAAGUUGAGAAACGAUGGCUGAAAAAAAAACCGACUUGAAGUUGUCCACAUCCGGUCGUUUAGAGAUGCAGCGGGGACCCACGACUCGUUCUCACACACUCUUUUUGUCUCUGCCAGUUCUCUAUGCCGGUAGACGAUACCAAACAGGCGAGAUUCCACGGAAAUUUCUUUGCCCAUUCUAUAUAUCCUCUCACUCUCAAUGAGUGAGUAGGAAUACUUGCGGCUUUUGAAAACAAAGAUUGGAAACAAUGGUGAUAGAGUAAAAUACAAAUUGAGAAAAAAAGAGAGGAGAAAGAAAGAUGAAACGAAGAUGAGAGAUUCAAGAAGAGUGAUACUGGCGUGUGUGAACCGGACAUCCCAAGUCUUUCUGUAGCCUUGAAUGGACGCGUCCAUGAUGUUAAAGAUUUAUUUUAUUUUUUCAAAGCUAGCUUACUACCUAAGAAACGUAAAUCUCAACGUGUGCGGCCAUGCCUAUGGCUAAGAUAACAUAAAAUUGAGCGAACUGACCUGCUAAAUACCGUUGUCAAUUACGACGAUUGGGACCGGAAGUGUUAUAAGAGAAUUGAGGAUGAAUUGACAAUGUCAAUUCUUGACGUUAUAAUAGGAUGAUCGAUGGACCUGGUAUAUUCAUCAGCUUUAGUGUCAACUGUAGAUGACUUCGCACACAUUUUUGAGACGAUCUAUUAUUCUAAAAUAAUGACUCACUAUCCUAGAGGCCAGAGAGAGAUACAAAGAAGAGGCUUGGUCGGAUUGAGUCCAGUGAUAAAUCGCUGCAGCAUUCGAAGAUGACACCGCGUACGUAUAUAGCAACUGAACAGAAACGAAAGAUGAGCCCAGGUGUUGUAGAGAAUAUUUAUAAAUCUACACCGUUAAAUAUUUAGAUUUAUUAUAUUGUAAAAAAAAAA
rnacentral:lncRNA from 1 species